GAUUAAAAUAAAGUCUUUUUUGUCAUUCUUGACUUCUACACGAGGGUUAGUAUAAGAUAUAUACUUUCGUAAAAUAUAAAGUUAACCUAAUGCAGAUUUGUGCAAAAGUAUUUUUCCGUGUGUAAAACCCUUCAAACAAAAUUUUGCCGCCAUUGCAACUGUUUGUUUUUCACUGGUAAAAACUCUGAAAGCCGAACUCGGUGUUGAAAUCUUUAGCAUUUAAAGGCAAAAAAUAGUGUAGAGACGUUUGUUUUACGAAAUAUCAGGAAAAAAAGCAAUCAUGAAUGUUACCGCUUUCUAAUAAGGGAGAACUCCAGGAACCUGCUCCAAGUAUUCCAAAGACAUGGAACAGGGAAGUGGAAAAGGUCACCAGCGAAAAAUUAAAUCCGGAACCAACAUAUCAAUCGAACGCCGCAUUAUUUGGAAACAUCGCAGUAGCGUAUUCUGGCCGCCGAACAAACUGGGCUUGGUAUCCUACUAGACCGGACUGUUCCUUGAAACAACCGGAAUUGUGUUUCUGCAUGCGUUGCAAGCAUAAGCCACUCAUUAACUCAUUUCGUCGGAGGAAGCAGUGGCCGUGAUGGAUUACCCACAAAUGUAUCCGGACAAGUUUGUAUUAUGGCCAGCAGCAUCAGAUAACGAUUCCUUAAGAUCUGCGAGUACCCUGACUCCGGCCGUUGAAGGAAAAACUAUAACAGUCCCUUCAACGGCGAUGUAAAUUAAGAUUAUCGAUGUUCAGUUUCAUAAGGAUUUGUAGUCAAAUUAGUGCUGUCGGGAGAUAAAAUCCUUUUCUGAUUCUGGUUGAAACUUGUAAAAUUGUUGAAUGGUUUUAAUAAUUGUUGAUAAAUAAAAAUAAUGUGGCAUAUAUUUAUUUAUUGACCUUUCUAUAAUAGAAAGAAUAAAACGAUGAAAUUUGUAUCCUUUUUAGUAUUCAUUAGCAGCUAUCCUAUACUAAUGUACGUUUAUCAUCAAGUUAUAC